rnacentral:rRNA from 1 species
GACGAACGCUGGCGGCGCGCCUAACACAUGCAAGUCGAACGAGCGAGAGAGAGCUUGCUUUCUCGAGCGAGUGGCGAACGGGUGAGUAACGCGUGAGGAACCUGCCUCAAAGAGGGGGACAACAGUUGGAAACGACUGCUAAUACCGCAUAAGCCCACGGGUCGGCAUCGACCAGAGGGAAAAGGAGCAAUCCGCUUUGAGAUGGCCUCGCGUCCGAUUAGCUAGUUGGUGAGGUAACGGCCCACCAAGGCAACGAUCGGUAGCCGGACUGAGAGGUUGAACGGCCACAUUGGGACUGAGACACGGCCCAGACUCCUACGGGAAGCAGCAGUGGGGAAUAUUGCACAAUGGGGGAAACCCUGAUGCAGCGACGCCGCGUGGAGGAAGAAGGUCUUCGGAUUGUAAACUCCUGUUGUUGGGGAAGAUAAUGACGGUACCCAACAAGGAAGUGACGGCUAACUACGUG